CAGCAAUCCUUGCGCUGCAUAGAGGCGAUCGCCAUAGCAACUGUGUUGCAUCUAUAUAACACUAUUCAAGCUCGUGCGACAGGAAACCAGAGUGUAGGCCCACUCCAGUAACACACGCGAGCGCCGCAGCGACAUCGGUGACUUUGUGGGUGCAUGACCGAGCGGUCCACGCAGACGACAGGACAAAAAGUCCGUGCUGACUAUCGCUAAGAUCAUCAACUCAAUGGGCACCUGAUGCACACAUUCAACUUGCGGUAUCUCCCCGCUAUGCUAGCACUGCUACCACGAUGACUAUUGUAGCUUCUGACGACGCAAACGGCAGUAAAUAGCUAGAAAGAAGGCUGCAAGUGUCACACAUCUGAGGAUCCACAGGACUACAAACUAUCUACAUAACAAUGGUGACCGGGCCAACGUUUGAUGGUAGGGUUUUGUCGACGACUAUUAACCCAUGAGUAGAUACGAAGUGCAUAUAUUCUGUAUGAUAAAUCUGUAUAGGAAAUAAGGAUGGGAGAAGCACGCUGCCUUUUAGGUCUUUUUGGAACCUAAUGAGUGAUUCGUGUGUAAACGUGCACCUAUCGUCGUCGUAUAGAUUUGUAAAGCAACCAGCCAGCACAGCAGCCAAAAAUAAUUCUGCCACUACUUUCAAAAUAGCUCGUCGCAAGUGACAGUGCAUUUGAUAUUAACCUUAGUCCAUACUGAUCUACCGGUAUCGCUACCAAAUCGAUUUGUGAGGAGCUCUUAUCAAUAACGCUGGAAGUGAGAUGUACAAAUGAACAUACAUUCGUGAAGAACUCGAAUCUGUCAUUCACGCCAUACGGCGGGCAAGCGGUAUAUACUGAAACACGUGUUUCUGCACGCCCGAUCACCAUAGUUCUAGUUUUCGUCAAAAGAAACGUACGCUAAUGAGUGCAGGACAAUGCAUCUGUUACAGGUGCUCUGGAAUAUGAGGAAGAGCUGCCGCUGUUCUCUACGCCAUACAUAUGCUUUGGGUGUAUGCUAAUGGUUCAUCACAUACUAUAAUGACAACAAUGACUUUUUGAAAUCGUUUCAAAGUAAAGGUCCCAUGUGGAUUAUAGAUAAAGACGACGACAGCUCGAUGUGUUAAGCCUCAUUAAUGAAAGAUGAAAUUUUCCAGUCACGAAACAUGAAGUUUAUUGUUUAACGCUAUCUGCAAUAUUUAUUUUCUUCAUUUCGUCACACCUUUCAAAUAACAUCUGAAGGAACUUGAGUCAGCUACCGCUCGCCUUCGCGUAUGUAGUAUUUUAUGCAAGCGGACACAACAAGCUGUGCCAUACGAUUACAACGCGCCCUAACACUUAGGUGUUUUCCUGGACUCCCGAUAAAAAGGUAAUAUAACAGUGCAAAAAAGAACUUGUCUAAACAUUUAGAAACGCCGACUAAUAGACGAGUCGAAUUCAAUUUUCUCCUGCGAACGGUUCGUGCUUGUUCUUGUUAACGUUGUUGUCCACUGUCAUUGCCUACUACUCUACUCGAGGAGACCCUGACAUCGGACAUUGCCGGCGAUGUCAGGGACUGAAUCAAGCGAGACCACCGAGCGACGUGGCAGCGCGAGUGUAUAUGGAAAACGAAAAUACUUAGCAGCGUGCUCUGGUUCCGAGCCGGCAUUUCGCCUACUAAUAUCCUCUACGGGCAGCAACCACCAUCGCUAGAGCUACCGUCAUCAUAUUGUUCGUGAAUCGCACGGCAUGAUCAGCACGCGAACUAUCGACAGCGCAGUUACGAUGAUACGUCCGCUCUCGCACGGCGGCAUCUAAACAAUGGCUUGUUUAGACCACAGCCGAACGAGGCCAGAUAGCGCAGAGAAAAGUGCAUGAUUGCGCACUCCGAUCAUGAUUAUAUCGAAAUAAAAAAAUGCUGUGUUAAAUCGUUCCCUCAACGGACUUGCAUUAUAUUUUCCAUAACAACGAUGUAAGUGAUCUAGGAUUCGAGGUGAUUGUAUGUAUGUCCAUGACGAUUUUACCGACAUCAAAAUCGUGUUAGCUUCUUGAACGUUUCUGUUUUUCAGUGAAGACUUUCAAGAAACUAUGGUGUUCGUGUUGCAUAUAGACAACGAUCUUUAACAGGGGUCUGCCUCUAUGAGAGCUACCGUUAUUAGCAGUUGUGCGGAUACAUACAUUUUCGGCCCGGAUCAUUACUGUAGGAAUCUACGACAAGUCAAAAAAAGAUAUGACUGCAAGUUUCGUAGAAUCGUCGGCUGGCAGAUUUCUUCGAUGGAAGAAACGUUCUUAUCGUCUUUAAAACGACGCUAAAUUGUAGAGUUUUCCUUUUUUUUUUCGUCAUUUUUAACACAAGCCAAUUAUGCUGCAUGCGCUCCUGAUUUUUCCGCCCGUAACUUGCUUUGAGAGUGCCAUCGUAUAGCUGCAACCGAGAUCGACCGAGAGUGAAAAGCAUAGAAAGGUGCCUGAAGUGGCAGAAGGGGGAAGGGACGAAACUACCAAUCACAUAUAAUUAGUAGUUCGGCUGCGUACCCUAUGUCACUUGACUACGACAACGGUAUAGGUAAGCUGAUUCUUUCUAAGCAAGGUGUACACAGUAUCUGCUCUUGAUAAUGCUACAAGUCGCCUAGCGUUUAACACAAACGAUUCCGAUUAUCGGUAAGUGUCUGUCCGAGAACGAACUUUCACUAAGUAACUAAAACAGAUUUUUAAUUGGUACCGUCUGAGAGGCCAAUCUUACCUCUUCUUAAACGAACCAGCUGCACUAAAUCUUGCGAGGAUCAGUGUACUUCGAUUUACCUUGAAUCGGUUCUUCGUCAAUGACUAGAAAAAGCCGUUGGCUUGCACUGACGCAGUAUUUUAGAAAAUAAUAUUUACGUUACGUUUAGGACGACGGCAGAAAUACGUCUGAGCAGCGAAACUCUAGUCAUGCAAUCAAAGACUUUUUUGAACUACCUCUUUUCCUGUCUUGUGAACGCACCUUCGGGCUGAUGGGUUUUGUCAAUGCCGCAUACGACACAGGUACGAACAGACUGCAGGACGAUGCUGGAGCUGGCCGUCUUGGGAGCAUAUCUGCGCUAAUGUUUCAGUUUCAUCGUUUCGUAGCCUCGAGCCAGGCCAUUCGGGAAUUCUGUGUAGGCAAGAGAAUAUCUUUCAAAAACAUCAUUAUGAUUCAACCCACGCCGAAUUAUCUCCCCCGGCUAUUCGCAAAUAAAAAGCAUUCGAAAAAAAAAGAGACCAAGCAGAGGUGACAGUUAAAUCGACUGAUAUAGGAUUAACAGGCUACACUAAAAUAGACCCGCUGGAAUAAAUAAGAUAUCAACCUAUGAAUGCAUGUUGCUUUACACCUGGCUCACUGACAAACCUGUUUUGUAUAAUUAAGAUGACGUUUCCGUAUAUAAGUCUCUCUAUUUUUCCAUUAGGCAUUAAAUAAUUAUUAU
rnacentral:lncRNA from 1 species